GUUGUCUCAGUGUUUUAUCACGGCUAUAGCCUCUGAAGUGAGCACUGGAGUCACUGGGAAUCUAGCAGACUGGUGGCCAGGGGCUGCUACCUCACCAGGCAGGGAGGUUGGAGGUGGGUGGAGGGGUAGAGAGGCAGGGGAGUCUCCAGUCUGAGGCUACCACAUGAGGCAAGGACUUCCCUGGACCUGGAGGAGGACCGGAUUCGGAGGCCAGGAUGCCAUAGUGGGGGUAAGACUUAUGCCUGGGCCAUCCUGGUUCUGUAAAGAGAUUUUUUUCCCCCUGUGCCAAGCAUGGUCAACCUUUUGACAUGGCCAAGACAUACAAAGUUCACGCUGAGAGCUGUGCAAUGGAGUUACAAAAAAUUUUUUUUAUUUCAAAAACUAUCUUUCUUAUACUUUAGAGUUCUGACCUGAGCUGCUGACCCAGAAGACGAAAUGAGAAGAUGGAUAGACUGGAAAGUUCAUUCUGGCUUAAUCCAGGUGGAAUUUCAUCAGAGCUCCUGGAGAGUUUGACAGCAGCGUGCCCGGGAGGGAGCUGGGGCAGGAGAGGCGCUUCCCCAUGAAGUGAUUAGCCAGGCAGACCUGUUGUCCUAUGGAGGGCACCGUUACCCGGCGGAUGUAAUUACCCAUUCGCUCUGUUGUUAGCUGGGGUAGGAGACUGAGGCUCUCGCCCUGCCUGCUCCUGCAUUUCAAAGCUUACUCACACGCCCGAAUCCCUGAUAUUAAAGCACAAUGAGACUUUUUUGAAUUCAAUUAA